rnacentral:rRNA from 1 species
UAAGGAAUAUUGGUCAAUGGACGCAAGUCUGAACCAGCCAUGCCGCGUGAAGGAUGAAGGCCCUCUGGGUUGUAAACUUCUUUUAUCUGGGACGAAAAAAGGGAAUUCUUUCCCACUUGACGGUACCAGAGGAAUAAGCACCGGCUAACUCCGUGCCAGCAGCCGCGGUAAUACGGAGGGUGCAAGCGUUAUCCGGAUUUACUGGGUUUAAAGGGUGCGUAGGUGGAUUAAUAAGUCAGGGGUGAAAUCUUCAAGCUUAACUUGGAAACUGCCUUUGAUACUAUUAGUCUUGAAUAUCCUGGAGGUGAGCGGAAUAUGUCAUGUAGCGGUGAAAUGCUUAGAUAUGACAUAGAACACCAAUUGCGAAGGCAGCUCACUACGGGAUUAUUGACACUGAGGCACGAAAGCGUGGGGAUCAAACA